UGUGGGAUUCCCGUCCACCUGGUGGACGUGAAAUCUGAUUGGUUGAUCAGCAUCAUGAAGGAUUUUGAUUGGUUGCAAGUUCACAUAAACAACAGUUUUAAAAAUAGCUCGGUCAAGGCGAGAAUUAAUAUAAAAGUCAAACGCACGUAACAAAUUCCAUUAUCGAUUUCUUCAAAUUUCUUUUCUUUUAUGCUUUAUGGCAGGAAAUAAAUCAAACAAACAGUAUUUUGAAAGGGCUUCAUCAAAAUCUUUGACGAAUUUCGGACACACUGAAAGAACAGCCAAACUAGUCAUGUAUUCGAAAGCUUGUUGUUGACAGCCAAGAUGGUCUGCCAACUUGCUUCUCCGGCAAAAGUCUUAUUUCUAAUAUCAGGUCUUACCGGCGUUGUUUUCUUAGCUACAUCGCCUUCUUCGUGGUAUGAUUGAGAAUUU